UAUAAAUCACCAAAUGUGGGAGAUUCAUCAGAGGGGAAUUCUAAACAAGAGCUCUGGAAACAUGAUAAAGUGGGCAAAUGGACCGCAGCCAUAACCAUGUCAGCCGAACAAAGAGACCACUUAAAUAUCGUGCUUUAUGAGACCACCUCCUCAGCCCGCUGUGGCUUAUAUUUCUCAUCAAGAUAAAGAAUAUCCUUCAGGCCGCAUUUCGCGAAUCUGUUUCAAAGGCAUUAAUGCUGGCAUUGUUUGGACUAUUUAACAAAAACUUGCAGGUUCUCUGCUUUUCUCAGAAUUCUGCAGGGAUGGAGAGAAGCGAGUCCUCUGUGAUUUCUGCCUGUUUCAUCACGUGUUUAGCGUUCGCAGGCUUGGUGGGAAUGGGGAAGGCCUGGUUGGCGCCAGAAAAGUGUAGGAGACUUCCAUGUGACAAAGUCACUUUUGAUGCCACUGUUUAUGAAUCUUGUGUUGAGCCGUUCACUCAGACCAUGGCAAACACUGACUACAAACUCAGAUGUCCCUGGCCAAGCACUAGAAGAUAUUCAGAAGUGUGCAACGCAUUUUAUGGAGGACUGUUUCCUGGUCCUGGGAGAGAAGACUACAAUGCCGG
ensembl:lncRNA